rnacentral:tRNA from 1 species
CGGGGCCCGGGCCGCGGCGGGCGGCUGGUCCUGGUCGUCCACCACCUCGCCGUCGACGGGGUCUCCUGGCGGAUCCUCACCGCCGACCUCGCC